rnacentral:rRNA from 1 species
AGUCGUAACAAGGUUUCCGUAGGUGAACCUGCGGAAGGAUCAUUAAUGAAUUCUAGGACGUUCUUUUUAGAAGUCCGACCCUUUCAUUUUCUUACACUGUGCACACACUUCUUUUUUACACACACCUUUAACACAUUAGUAUAAGAAUGUAAUAGUCUCUUGAUUGAGCAUAAAUAAAAACAAAACUUUCAGCAACGGAUCUCUUGGCUCUCGCAUCGAUGAAGAACGCAGCGAAUUGCGAUAAGUAAUGUGAAUUGCAGAAUUCAGUGAAUCAUCGAAUCUUUGAACGCACCUUGCACUCUUUGGUAUUCCGAAGAGUAUGUCUGUUUGAGUGUCAUGAAACUCUCAACCCCCCUAUUUUGUAAUGAGAUGGGCGUGGCUUGGAUUAUGGCUGUCUGUCGGCGUAAUUGCCGGCUCAGCUGAAAUACACGAGCAACCCUAUUGAAAUAGACGGUUUGACUUGGCGUAAUAAUUAUUUCGCUAAGGACGUCUUCUUCAAAUAUAAGAGGUGCUUCUAAUGCGCUUUUUAAAGCAACUUAAGCUUUAGACCUCAAAUCAGUCAGGACUACCCGCUGAACUUAAGCAUAUCAAUAUAAAAGUCG